GUGAGAGUGAAAGGAAAAAUAAUGAGAUGGGUGGUGCUGGUGGUCGAGUACUCACUACUAAGAAGCUUACUGCUAUGGGAAUUGUGAUAGUAAAAGGAUUAAGGCUGUAGAUCUAGUAGUUAAAGACAGCUAAAUUUUCUCUCUUUCUAGUAAGGUAGACCUCUUGACUCAGUCCGACCAUGUGAAUCCUAUAAAUAGAUCGUUGAGAGGAUGCCAUUCUGCACUCAUCCAGUCAUCCACCAUUAGUUGGUAUUCACUCUAACUAGUGGGCUAUCCACAAUGAAGCAAGUUUCCUUUCCCGUCCUCUUUCUUGCCCUUCUCUUGCUGCUCUCUGUGGCUUUUGCACGUAGUGUUGUUGAAAAACAGGAUGAAAAGAAUGCAACAGGCGAUGUUUGUGGAUCCUCUUGCGGCAGUGGUCGAUGCUGCCCCUCUGGUUACUCCUGCUGCCCAAACGACUGGUGCUGCCGAUCAAGUUACAUAUGCUGCGGCUAUCAUGGUUGCUGUAGUCUUAAUGAGUAUGGUGCACUCGUGAAUGCUCACGGUGUCGCUAGCAUACUGAAACCUUCUCGUCGCUGAUAUGUUAUCAUGUUGGUCAUGCUGAUAGUAGUAACUUGUGGUAUAUCUAAAUAAUAAAGCAAGCAUGUCUAAAUAAUAAAGCAAGCAUGCUUAUUGUCUGCUAGGACAGCAUGCAUGCAGGGUCUGUACUUCCUAGUUCUUGUUGCCCGCAAGAACCAGAACCAGUGUUUCCGUCCAUCCUCUUUGUGUACUUGUGCAAUCGAAAUAAAUGCACCGAUGUUGUGCUUAGUUAUUUUA